CCGGCCAAGCAAAGGUCCCUGAAGCCCCGAACAACGACGACGCCAAUGCAGUUAGAUCCGCUGCCGACAGAUGGCGUUGACUACCAUCAGUCAUCAGAUGAACCAUCCUCAUCCUUUCCUUCAACUACUGAACAUACAAACCCUUAUACAGCCUGGUUGUAUUCGAAAGAGCUGAUUGCUAUUAUAGGUGGAGUUCUAGGGUUCUGGGGUGGAGUGGGUUCCCUUGGAACAAUGUUUCUCAUGAUUUUGGUUUCCCAAAGAUAUUGCUGUGUUGAGAAGGAGGAUAAGGACGAACCGGGGUGACUGGGACGAAUGUUUCUCUGCAUAGCUUAUCGUCUUUCCGGCCGGGGGAAGGCUCCGGUUAACAUGGUUUAGACUUCACUUUCAGAUGCAGAAAACAGUUUACUGGAAUUAUAAACUUUACUGGAAUUUUAUUUUUAUUUGAAACCAUUGUGCUUGAAACUAUAACUGUUUGUAUUUAAGUGUGUAAAAGUAAUUUUAUUGAAUUGAAAAAUAUCUAA